rnacentral:rRNA from 1 species
GAUGAACGCUGGCGGCGUGCCUAAUACAUGCAAGUCGAACGAGGUGCUUUUGUAGCAAUACGAGAGUAUCCUAGUGGCGAACGGGUGAGUAACGCGUUGGUGACCUGCCCCAAAGUGUGGGAUAACAGUCCGAAAGGAUUGCUAAUACCGCAUGUGGUCAUUGGGUUUAGAAACCGAUGACUAAAGCAGCAAUGCGCUUUGGGAGGGACCUGCGUCCCAUCAGCUAGUUGGUGAGGUAACGGCUCACCAAGGCGACGACGGGUAGGGGACCUGAGAGGGUGGCCCCCCACAAUGGAACUGAAACACGGUCCAUACACCUACGGGUGGCAGCAGUAGGGAAUAUUGCUCAAUGGGCGAAAGCCUGAAGCAGCAACGCCGCGUGCGCGAUGAAGGUCUUCGGAUCGUAAAGCGCUUUUCUGCGAGAUGAGAAAGGACAGUAUCGUAGGAAUAAGUCUCGGCUAACUACGUGCCAGCCGCCGCGGUAAUAC